rnacentral:lncRNA from 1 species
AGACAUGCGUAGUGCUCCCCUUGGUCCAGCGCGGGAAGCUCCCUCGUGAGUGUCCGAAACUAUUAGCUCACUCACUGCCUCAUGUGAAGAUUAACUCUUAAGUACUCCACAACUACACGCUUUUGAAACUGGCGUUGGCAUAGCGUUAGUUCUGUGCAGGGCGGACGCAGCAGGACAGAAUCUCCCUGGGCAUCUUUUCGGAGCAUCAAUUUUACUGCAAAAUUUUGAAAAAACAAAUUUAAUUGAUUUCCAAGGUUUGUCAAGGAGGACAGAAACUCAGAGCACCCUGCACUUGGGGAUCGGCACUAGGAGCUGCUCUCUGGAUGGGGAGAUGGGAGCUAGCAGCUCACAAUGGGGUCACAAGACAUCUGAAAAUACUCAGAAGUUACAAGAAUUCAUAAAAUACCCACCAAAGCUAAUAGAAAACAUGGAACCUUCCAGGACAAGAAGUAAAUUAAAAGAACAACCCAGAGGAGUAAUCAAAGUGAGAAGCCAGUGCCGCCUCCAGGUACUGGAUGAUCACAGGGACCUCAGGCUUUGGGGAUUAUUCAACUACCUUCUUGGAAUAAACAACAAAAAAAGUAC